rnacentral:lncRNA from 1 species
ACAACAUCAUCCUGGCUGUGGGCGUGUCCAGGAAAGGAAUAAGCAACAGAGGGAUCUCACCCCGCCCGGGGAAGGACUGCAUCAGCUCUGGAUCCCUCGGGGGACCAGAAAGGAGGGCAGUUAAUUGCAGCAAGAGACUUGAGUUCAAAUUCAGACUUGGCCAAGGUGAAAAUGAAUGGGACUGGCUCAGCCAUACCUGCAGGAGAUGCCAGUUAACACCCCCAAAAGCACCAGGCGGCCUCCUCCUGGCACCAAAUGCAGGAGUGCAGAUGGAGAAGCACGUAGGGUGGAGGCUGGAUUUGGGGUGCAGGGAGGGAGCCCAGAGAAGUGAGGAGCUUGUCAGCUCAUCAUUAUGCAGGGAUUGUCUCUAUCUGUUGCCGAAUUGUACAUUCCAAGUGCUUAGUACAGUGCUCUGCACAUAGUAAGCACUCAAUAAAUACUAUUGAAUAAAUGAAUGGGACAGGGAGAGGGAACUCCGUAGGUCAAGGAUGAGGUGCUGGAGGCAGUCCCCGCAGGAGGAGCAAAGCGGGACUGAGAGGCAGGAGCCAGGGUAGAUGUGGAGAGCAGCAAGGUGGGAUGUGGAGGUCGUCUGGCUUCCCUCCGAGCCUGCUGGCCCCUCGCUCGGGCCUGCCUCUCCUGGGCCAGGGUCCUCGUGGCUGGGCGAGGCCGGAUGGGCAGUGCCAAUGGGCUGGGCCGAACGGGCAUGGCCGGGCGCGCUCCAGCUAGUGUGUAUUUCUGGUUUAACUCUGUGUCAUUACUUUUAGAGGGGUCAAUAAGAGGCUUGUUUCCACCUAUGGCCAGAAGCAUCCAGUUCCAGCACCUGGUGGGAGAGAGACCCGAAGGCAGCCGGUUCGGGCAGAGGCGGAAUUGCUUGCUCACGGCCCUGCCCAGUGGUUAGAACGGAAACCUGGGACGACUCAGAAGGCCCUAGCCUCCUCAUCAAUGGUGCUUCGCCACCCAGCCACGAUGACACUCCUGUGCCCCAAGGCUCUGCUCCCUGCCAGAGGUCAGCAUGGAUAUCACCAUGGCAGUGGGGCAGGGUGUGUGUGUGUGUGAUGAUGGCGUGGGGGGAGAGACCCGGGACUGCCACAGCUGUAGCAUCACCCAGUUCUGGAGGAAUGAAGUGGACACCCCGGCAGCCGGCAGAGAAAGGGAAGGCAGAAGGGAGACGAAGGAAACCCCUGUCUAGCUGCACACAGCUAACCCUGAACCGCCAGCAACAGCCACGGGGAAAACUCAUGGGACUGUAAGCUUGUUAUGGACAGGGAAUGUGUCUGUUUAUUGGUAUACUGUCCUCUCCCUGGUGCUUAGUACAGUGCUCUGAACACAGUAUGCACUCAAUAAAUAAAUUGACUGACUGAAUGAAUGAAUUCCAGGAGAAGGAUGGAGAGAUUCCUCACAGGAGAACUGGCAUCCAGAGGUCACGAAGUGAAGCCAGGGACAGAAAAGAAGCAGGGGCAUUUGAACUCUAAGGGCAUUUUUACCAGUGUGCGCAUAUGCAUGUGUGUGUAUGCACAUGUACACACUCAUGUGGGAGACCAGGGCCAGGGUAUUCGUAUGUGAGGGGACUUUCAGCAUGCAUCCAGGAAUGAGCAGGGCCCCCAUCCCUCAAGUGCAACUCACAGUUCACCACCGGCAUGGUGAAACAGCCGCAAACUAGGGCAUGUCUGGUGGGGCUCUGCCAGCCGUUAAUAAAGGUUUCUAACCAAAGGAACACCUAGUGCAGCUCUCACCGUGGACAACCUUCCGCAGGAAUCCUGGAAAGAGCUGGCUCACAUGGGCGGCAAAGGCCACGGCGGCUACCGCGGCAACCUCCCGCUAAUUCCAGGGGCUGCAGCCCAGCAUUGGCACUGUGCUGCAGUCAGUUUGGCUGUAGAGGAACCCUGUGUGGGACGGGGACUGUGCCUGAUUCGAUUAUCUUCUAUCUAUCCUUGCGCUUAGUACAGUACUUGGCAAAUAGGAAGCACUUAAUUUCCACCAUUAUUAAAUAAAGCUCUUGCAUACACUUCUGAAAAUGCUGGCCUCCUGCCCUCUAAAUCCCUGUUUUCCCCAGCAAAAAUCUGACCGGUGAGAACGAGAGAGGAAAGUGACACAGCCCAAACCACUAGAAUUUGAGUGUAUGCUCUUAGCGGAGAGGGAACGUGGCUUGUGUUCCUUUUGUACUUUCCAAGUAUAUAGUAUGGUGCAAUGAACUCGAUGGGUGAUCAAUAAAUGCAUUUGCGGCUAUUACUGCUAUCACUACUACUAUUACUUCUAACACAUAA